GUACUUCCAAAGUACAUGUACUAAAAUUGGAACGAUACAGAGAAGGUUAGAAUGACCCCUGCGCAAGGAUGACACAAUCAAUCAAUCAACGCUCUACCAGCUC
rnacentral:snRNA from 1 species